AAUUGAGCAGAUCGGUUAGUUAGUUCAGUUAGUUCCAUCUGGAAUUCGAAUUGUGAUAAAAAUUGCGAUUGGGACGUCUGCUGGCUGUCAAAGUGUGUUUGUUUAUUGUUUAGUAAACAGAAACAGGCAAUACUAUUUUCUUAUUAAUGAUGGAAUAGAAGUAUUACGUAGCACAUGAAGGUGGCUAUAAACUUAUACGUAUUUCGUACAAGUGGCUAAUUUGUUUUAGAUAUUAAAACUGUAACCUAAAUGUAUUAUUUAUUACAGGCCUGGUUUGUGUUAUUGAUAAAAUGUGUUAACAAAGGCCCAGUUGUAAGGAGGAAUAAACUUUCACCUAACUCAUAUUGGUUUAAUUUGUCCAUAAAAAUACAAUAACUUUAUUCCAACAUAUAUCACGUAUCCUAAUUAUGAAACACAUAAAUGAGUAGUUCACUGGAAACAGAACCAAAUACUGGAGAUUCCUAUGGGGCGGAAAAAAUCAAUUAUGCAACCUUGCAACCUGGUAUUCUUUAAAAAGAAUUAAAUCUUGAUUAACUGGUACACCUGACAUCUCAAUGAGUACUAUUUCUAGAGAACACAAAGAAGAGAUUACAAUUUCCAUGAAAAAUGGAGAGACUAUAACUAAAAAAACAGAAACUACUCCAGUGUAUAAGAAAAGAAAAUUGCAUAGUAAUAUCAGUAAACCUGCCAUUAGUGAACAUCAGAGUACAGGACAAACUGGAUCAAAACAAGCCUCUAAGAUGCAUGAUUGUGAAGGAAGUGAUAAAACUGAUUGUACAGCAAUCCAGGAGGUGAAUGAAUCUGAAAAUAAAGCGUCCAAUGGUAUGCUAAAUGAAGAAAGAUUUGAAUUAUCACAAGACAUGAAUUGUGAUAUAGAUAGUUCCAUCAGCCAACAUUUUUUGACAACAUCUUAUGGAACGUUUGACAGCCAAGAGACCAACUUGGAGAUGUUGAUCGGUCGGAAGUCUGACAUUCUACUUUACUGCAAGCUGUGUGGUCUGGAGUACAUCAGGAAGGACGAUGUCGUUCAUCACAUCAACACCGACCACUCCUCGAGAAAGGACUUUGAACUGUCGAUAAAAUGUCCUUUCUGUCCGUACAAGAACAUCAAUAGGUACAAGUUGAGCAGCCACGUCACCUCCCACACAUCAGAGAAGCCCUAUCGGUGCACUCUGUGUAAUUACGGGACCACCAGCAGGACAGUGUUGAAGAAACACAUGUACACGCAUUCGAAGGUGAAACCGUACAAGUGCAGUGAGUGUUCGUACGCGUGUAAUGAAAAAUACAAGUUAAGAGUGCACCACAUGAACCAGCACACCGCUGGUGAGAAGCCGUACCGAUGUCAGAUGUGCAGUUACUCUUCAGCUGAACAGUCGACACUCAAGAGACACUUGAUGGUGCACUCUGAGACUAAACUGUUCACUUGUGAUUCGUGCUCUUAUACCGGAAACAGCAUCCAUGACCUACGAAAGCACGAGGCUCUCCACACGAAUAUGAAACCGUUUGAGUGCCACAUUUGUGGAUUCACUUGUGCUUUUAACUCCAACUUGAGAAAACACAUGAAGAUUCACACAGGCGAUAGGAAAUUUAAAUGUUCUGAAUGCGAUUUCUCUACAAUGUCGAAGUCAAAAAUCAUAGAACACACAUCGAAGCACUCAGAACAAUGCUUGUAUUCAAACACGGAACAGUUGAAAAGCAAGGAGCUUGUGAAAACUGAUGACGUAAUUCGUAGCUAUAAAUGUGAGCAGUGUGACUACGCCGGGACGACUCAAAACAACCUGACCCGCCACAAGGUUAAACACUCACAAGAGAAACCUUACGAGUGUGACCGAUGUGACUAUUCCACCAAUGUUAGAGAAAGACUGAAAAGACAUUUUACAAUUCACAGUAAAGCUUUACCAAAGAAAUGUCCCCUUUGUAAUUUCAACAAGUUUAACAAUUAUAAUUUCAUAAAACAUUUAUUGACCCACACUAAAGAUACAGAAUAUAGAUGUGCGCUUUGUCAUACCAUUAGUCCUACUAGAGAAGAAUUUGUUAAUCAUUUGAAGUCACAUGUGAAUGAGCAUUAUGGUAAUGUUGUUGAAAAUCAAGCUGAAGAAAAUACUUAUAACAAUAAUGUCAAAGCUUUUAAGCAAGAGGAUUCUACUUCGGUUCAGAUGCAAUUAAACUAAUAACUUUGUGAGCACUUGUAGAAAGCACAUUUACAAGAUCCAGACAAAGACCUCAGUGUGUGCUGUGUGUGUGGGAGACUGCUGAGCACACUAACAAUGGACUCACAGCCUUAUGGUACCUCAUAACAAGCUCACUGGAAAGAUGUGAUGAGUGAAGGAAUGAUGGUGAGAAAGUCGGUUAGAAUGUUAAAUGGCGAUCAAACAAAUGUGCAUAGAGUCUUCUCUCACCGAUGAUCUAGUAAGGACAGUUGACAAAAAAAUCCAAGAGAACAGACAUUUCACCAUGACAACGCUAUCUGAUGAUUUCCACAAAUUUCACGAACUCUUUUGUACGAAAUUAUUAUGGACCGCGUAGGUUAUCGUGAUCUGUGUUCCCGAUGGGUUCCGAAAAUGAUCACUGACGUGCACGAAACCAAGAGACUCGGAAGUGCUUUGAAUUUUCUAACACAGUACAGUGAUGAUGGUGAAGAUUUUUUUUUAACAAAAUUGUGACAGGUAAUGAAACUUGGGUCUGUCAUGUCACACCAGAAUCCAAACACCAGUCAAUAAAGUGACACAAUCCCCAAAGAAACAAAAAUUCAAGACAACAAUGUAUGCAUAAAAAAUGCAUUUUCUCUCAAGAGGUGAAACCACUAAUGCGGCAAGGUAUUGCGAAACCUUAAGAAAACUGAGGUGGGCAAUUCAAAACAAACUGAGAGAAAUACUCAGUAACAGAAUUGUGUUGCUCCACAACAAUGCUCGGCCCCAUAUAGCUGGUGACACUCAAAACAUUGGUUCGACAAUUUCGUUGGGAGCAGUUCAAUCACCCGCCCUACAGCUCUGACUUGGCAUCAUCUGACCACCACUUCUUCCUGCACAUGAAGAGAGCAAUCUAGGCAGCCUACACUUUGAAACCGACGAUGAAGUUAAAACUGCAGUGAAAGGUUUGGGCUUUCAUGAAGAAAUAAAAUUGUGUUAAA
rnacentral:misc_RNA from 1 species